UGACAGUGACAGUGACAUGGUGAUAGUGACACCGUGACAGUGACACGGGGGUGGCAGUGACGGUGACACAGUGACAGUGACAGUGUGACAUGGUGGUGGCAGUGGCAGUCACACGGUGACAGUGACACGGUGACACAGUGACAGUGACACAGUGGUGACAGUGACACGGGGGUGACAGUGAUGGUGACACAACACUGACUGUGACCCCAGGUGACCCCUGAGUGACCCCUGGGUGACCCCUGGGUGACCCCAAUGACCCCUGUAUGACCCCUGGGUGACCCCAAUGACCCCUGGGUGACCCCUGGGUGACCCCAAUGACCCUUGGAUGACCCCUGAGUGACCCCAGUGACCCCUGGGUGACCCCACCCCAAAUGAUCCCUGGGUGACCCCAGUGACCCCUGGGUGAUCCAAAUGACCCCUGGAUGACCCCUGAGUGACCCCAAUGACCCCCGGGUGACCCCAAUGACCCCAGAGUGACCCCUGGGUGACCCCUGGGUGACCCUGAGUGACCCAAAUGACCCCUGGGUGACCCCAAUGACCCCUGAGUGACCCCAGUGACCCCUGGGUGACCCCAGUGACCCCUGGGUGACCCCAAUGACCCCUGGAUGACCCCUGGAUGACCCCUGUGUGACCCCUGACUGACCCCUGGCUGACCCCCGGCUGUUCCCCGGCUGUUCUGCCCCUCCCCCCGCUGCCCAGGUGCUGUUGGCCCUGCCCGGGGCGGCUGUUCCCGGGUCCCUCCCCCCGCGGCCGGGAGAGCUCCGAGUGCGCCUGAGACCGGUCAGACUGUACUGGUUUAUACUGGGAGGGACUGGGGGGGACUGGGAGGGAACUGGGAGGGGACUGGGAUAAACUGGGAGGGAACUGGGACAGACUGGGAUGGACUGGGAGGGACUGGGAUGGAAAUGGGAGGGAACUGGUUUAUACUGGGAUAUACUGGGAGGGGACUGGGAGGGACUGGGGGGGACUGGUUUAUACUGGGAUGGACUGGGGGGGAACUGGGGGGGACUGGUUUAUACUGGGAGGGACUGGGACGGACUGGGAGGGACUGGGACAUACUGGUUUAUACUGGGAGGGACCGGGGGGGACUGGGAGGGAACUGGGGGGAACUGGUUUAUAGUGGGAGUCAAAUUGGGAGCACUGGGAGGGGGAACUGGGAGGGGCUGGGAGGGACUGGGAUAUACUGGGAGGGAACUGGGGGGAACUUGGGGGGACUGGGGGGAACUCGGACAAACUGGGAGUCAAACUGGGAGCGCUGGGAGGGAACUGGGGGGGACUGGGAGGGACUGGGAAGGGACUGCAACAUACUGGUUUAUACUGGGAUGGACUAGGAGGAGAUUAGGUUGUACUGGUUUAUACUGGGAUGGAACUGGGAAGGAAUUGGGGGGGACUGGGACAAACUGGGAGGGACUGGGGAGAACUGGUUUAUACUGGGAGUCAAACUGGGAGUGCUGGGAGGGGGAACUGGGAGGGACUGGGAUGGACAACCACUGGUCCAUACUGGUUUAUACUGGUCUAUACUGGUUUAUAAUGGUCUAUACUGGUCCCUACUGGUUUAUACUGGUCCAUACUGGUCUGUACUGGUUUAUACUGGUCCGUACUGGUUUAUACUGGUUUAUACUGGUCCGUACUGGUUUCCAGCCCCAGGAACUGGUGCUGGAAUGGGAACCCCUGGAGGGGAACUGGGAACUCCCUGAGGAGACGGAGCCGCCCGAUCCCGGCUUUGAGCCCGACUGGGCCGUGCUGAGCCCCCCCCGGCCCCGCCCCGGUACCACAAUGCGGGACAAAUUUGGGAAUAAUUUGGGAAUUUUGGGAUAAUUUGGGAAUAAUUGGGGAAUUUUGGGGGAAUUUUGGGGGAAAUUUGGGGGAAAUUUGGGGGAAAAUUGGGGGAAUUUUGGGGGAAAAUUUGGGGAAAAUUUGGGGAAAAUUUGGGAAUUUUGGGGAAAUUGUGGAGAAAAUUUGGGGAAAAUUCAGGAAUUUUGGGGGAAAUUUGGGGAAAAAUUUAGGAAAUUUUGGGGGGAAUUCUGGGGGAAAUUUGGGGGAAAUUUGGGAAAUAUUUGGGGAAUUUUGGGCGAAAUUUGGGGUAAAUUUAGUGAAAAUUUGGGAAUUUGGGGGGAAUUUGGGGAAAUUUGGGACAUUUUGGGGAUUUGGGGGAAAAUUUGGGAAAACUGGGGGAAUUUUUUGGGAAAUUUGGGGAAAAUUUGGGGAAAUUUGGGGAAUUUUGGGGAUUUGGGGGAAUUUUUGGGGAAAUUUGGGGUAAAUUUGGGGAAAAUUUGGGGGGAAUGUCAGGGAAAGUUGGGGAAUUUUUGGAAAAUUUGGGGAUUUGAGGGGAAUUUGAGGAAAUUUUGGGGAUUUUGGUGGAAAUUUGAGGAAAUGUGGGAAAAUUGAGGGAGAUUUGGUGGGAUUUUGGGGGAAUUUCUGGGAAAAUUGGGGAAUUUUGCGAAAAUUUGGGGAUUUUGGGGGGAUUUUGGGGAUUUUGGGUUAAUUUUGCCCAUUAUUUGGUUGUUUUUUGGCCGAUUUCGGAGCCGAUUUUUGGGUUCAUUUUGGCUGUUUUUUGGCUGAUUUCGGAGCCGAUUUUUGGGUUAAUUUUGGCUGUUUUUUUGCCGAUUUCGGAGCCGAUGUUUGGGUUAAUUUUGCCCAUUUUUGGCUGUUUUUUGGCUGAUUUCGGAGCUAAUUUUUGGGUUCAUUUUGCCCUUUUUUGGGUCAUUUUUUGGCCGAUUUCAGAGCCGAUUUUUGGGUUAAUUUUGGCUGUUUUUUGGCCGAUUUCUGUGGGAUUUUUGGGUUAAUUUUGGCUAUUUUUUGGCUAAUUUCUGUGGGAUUUUUGGGUUAAUUUGCCCAUUAUUGGGUCGUUUUUUGGCCGAUUCCUGUGGGAUUUUUGGGUUAAUUUGCCCAUUAUUGGGUCGUUUUUUGGCCGAUUUCGGAGCUGAUUUUUGGGUUAAUUUUGGGUGUUUUUUGGCCGAUUUCGGAGCCGAUUUUUGGGUUAAUUUUGGCUGUUUUUUGGCCGAUUUUGGAGCCGAUUUUUGGGUUAAUUUUGG
rnacentral:lncRNA from 1 species